GCGGCGUGCUUAACACAUGCAAGUCGAACGGAGUUUAUAAGACAGAUUCCUUCGGGAUGAAGACUUAUAAACUUAGUGGCGGACGGGUGAGUAACGCGUGGGUAACCUGCCUUACACAGGGGGAUAGCAGUUGGAAACGACUGGUAAUACCGCAUACCUUGCAUUAGUCGCAUGACCUAUGUAAGAAAGAUUUAUCGGUGUAAGAUGGACCCGCGUCUGAUUAGCUAGUUGGUACGGUAACGGCGUACCAAGGCGACGAUCAGUAGCCGGCCUGAGAGGGUGAACGGCCACAUUGGGACUGAGAUACGGCCCAGACUCCUACGGGAGGCAGCAGUGGGGAAUAUUGCACAAUGGAGGCAACUCUGAUGCAGCGACGCCGCGUGAGCGAAGAAGUAUUUCGGUAUGUAAAGCUCUAUCAGUAGGGAAGAUAAUGACGGUACCUACAGAAGAAGCCCCGGCUAAAUACGUGCCAGCAGCCGCGGUAAUACGUAUGGGGCAAGCGUUAUCCGGAUUUACUGGGUGUAAAGGGAGUGUAGGCGGCAGUACAAGUCAGGAGUGAAAACUUGGGGCUCAACCCCCAGACUGCUUUUGAAACUGUACAGCUAGAGUGUAGGAAGGGCAAGGCGGAAUUUCUGGGGUAGCGGGAAAAUGCGUAGAUAUCAGGAAGAAACACCGGUGGGGGAAAGCGGCUUGCUGGACUAUAACUGACGCUGUAGACUCGAAAGCGUGGGGAGCGAACAGGAUUUGAUACCCUGGUAGUCCACGCUGUAAACGAUGAAUACUAGGUGUUGGGUCUCGAUAGAGAUUCGGUGCCGAAGCAAACGCAUUAAGUAUUCCACCUGGGGAGUACGUUCGCAAGAAUGAAACUCAAAGGAAUUGACGGGGACCCGCACAAGCGGUGGAGCAUGUGGUUUAAUUCGAAGCAACGCGAAGAACCUUACCAGGUCUUGACAUCCUGCUGCCCGGUCAGUAAUGUGACCUUUUCUUCGGAACAGCAGAGACAGGUGGUGCAUGGUUGUCGUCAGCUCGUGUCGUGAGAUGUUGGGUUAAGUCCCGCAACGAGCGCAACCCUCAUCUAUAGUAGCCAGCAUUUCGGAUGGGCACUCUAUAGAGACCGCCGGGGAUAACCCGGAGGAGGAUGGGGAUGACGUCAAAUCAUCAUGCCCCUUAUGGCCUGGGCUACACACGUGCUACAAUGGCACUAAACAAAGUGAGGCGAGACAGUGAUGUUAAGCAAAGCACAAAAACAGUGUCCCAGUUCGGAUUGUAGUCUGCAACUCGACUACAUGAAGCCGGAAUCGCUAGUAAUCAAAGAUCAGCAUGCUGCGGUGAAUACGUUCCCG
rnacentral:rRNA from 1 species